UUGGUGCCUGAGGGUAUUUCCUCGGGUGAAAAGGGAACCGGGUGGGAAUCCCGGACAGACGGCGCUGCUGUGUGCUCCCGUUACUGAUACCCCGCAUCAGGCCACUGCGCGAUUUGCCCGACAGCAAGGGAUCGCGUGGGAAGGGCUGGUUGCAAACAUUUGGGGUAGGGGCGAGUCAGAAGACCUGCCAAGUCG
rnacentral:ncRNA from 1 species